UACGUAGGCGGAUUGGAAAGUAGGUGGUGAAAUCCCAGGGCUCAACCCUGGAACUGCCUCCUAAACUAUCAGUCUAGAGUUCGAGAGAGGUGAGUGGAAUUCCAAGUGUAGAGGUGAAAUUCGUAGAUAUUUGGAGGAACACCAGUGGCGAAGGCGGCUCACUGGCUCGAUACUGACGCUGAGGUACGAAAGUGUGGGGAGCAAACAGGAUUAGAUACCCUGGUAGUC
rnacentral:rRNA from 1 species